rnacentral:rRNA from 1 species
AUUCCAGCUCCAAUAGUGUAUCUUAAUGUUGUUGCAGUUAAAAAGCUCGUAGUUGAAUUUCUGACGGGGUGACCGCACUUAGGUGUUGGUCCUGCCCACGUCAUCCGCCUCGGAAGUGUCUCUCAUCCUUCAUUGGAUAGAACAUGGAAAGGGCAUUUUACUUUGAAGAAAUUAGAGUGUUCCAGGCAGGCUUUGCUUGAAUACAUCAGCAUGGAAUAAUGGAAUAGGACGAGGUUCAUUUGAUUGGUUAUUGGACUUUGUAAUGAUUAGCAGGGACAGUUGGGGGCAUUCGUAUUCAUUUGUCAGAGGUGAAAUUCUUGGAUUAGAUGAAGACGAACUAAAGCGAAAGCAUUUGCCAAGGAUGUUUUCAUUA